UGCCAGCAGCCGCGGUAAUACGGAGGUUGAAAGCGUGGUUCGGAAUAACUGGGCGUAAAGGGAGCGCAGGCGGCCAAGUAAGUCUGAAGUGAAAGUCCGGGGCUCAACUCCGGAAGUGCUUCGGAUACUGCUUGGCUUGAGUACACGAGAGGUGAGUGGAAUUCCAGGUGUAGCGGUGAAAUGCGUAGAUAUCUGGAGGAACACCGGUGGCGAAAGCGGCUCACUGGCGUGAUACUGACGUCUGAGGCUCGAAAGCGUGGGGAGCGAACGGGAUUAGAUA
rnacentral:rRNA from 1 species